CUGGGAGCCCCCUGUGGGACAGGGACUGUGUCCAAUCCGAUUUGCUUGUAUCCAUGCCAGCGCUCAAUACAGUGUUUAGCACGUAGUAAUCGUUUAGCAAUUUCUGCAAUUAUUAUUGGUGGCAGAGCCACGGUGAGCGUCCUGCUAAUACACUAUACAGGGCUCCAUUAAUAACUCGAGCAAAUUAAGGAAGGGAUCAAAAGGAAACUUUUUGGAGUAUCUCUGGAUUCCAGGGAUUCCCAAUCAGUCGAUCCAUCAGUGGUAUUUACUGAGCGCUUACUGUGGGCAGAGCACUGUGCUAAGCACUUGGGAGAGCACGAUACAGUCAAGUUGGUAGACACGAUAAAGUUGGUAGUCCCUGCCCUCGAAGAGCUUACGAUACAAUGACCUAGGUUCCUUUCAACACUGAAAUUGUUAAAGGUUGUGCAGUCAGGGAAACAAAUAUCCUCACUUAGUACAUUUUCCGGCUUUUCAUGUAUAUCUCUCUCCAUUUGGAAUACGCCAAGCUUAUAAUAAGACCUUGCCCUCAGGUUGAAAUUGCCCCUGGAGAUUUGCAUUUCCUCACCACAAGUUCAGUAUUUGAGAUGAAAGAAUGUUUUCAUUUGUGUUUUCGAUGGAGCUUAACUGUUCCCUUGCUGACCGCCUGAAAGCUGUGACCGCGCAGGGCUAGCCAGCGGGUCGAAAUAUCGGGGACGCGGAGUAAAACGUUUGCUGGUUAUUGAAUUGGUUCGUCGAGUCGAUCUAAUGGCCUCGGUGAAAGUUUGUACUUUACAGCUGUGGCAGAGCAGAUGAAAAAUGACAAAGCAGCCAGCAAAGGGAGGGUUGAUUAGAGGGCAUUGUUGUUUUUUCUCCCCAUCACCUGCCAAACCGAGAACUUUUAUGCAACUUUGGCUUCCUUUCGACAUCACCGUGUGCCCAGCGGUCCAUCUUUUCUCAUGCAAGAACUGCCAUCUCGUGGUGGAAAAGACUUUCCAAAAUUGGUGCCUGGGUCCUUUUCUUUUUGCAGUUUUGCACAGUGAUAGUAUGAAGAUCAGCAUCCGGUAGGAAAUUCAGUUCAGUGAAAAAUAAACAAAUACCGAAAUAAAUAAAUAAAACAAAUAGAAACUCGGUAUUUAGCAGUGGCGGGGGUAUUGUGCUAUACUCGUGUUGGAGUAGGAUUUUUGUUUUACCUAAUAUAUUUUGCUAAUUAAAUGGAUUCCUAGAUUUUUGUAAUUGAGGAAAUUUCAUCUCCUAAAACAAUAAGCAGGCAUAGGUGACUAUAUAUUCUAGACUUUCUUAGUUGAGGUAUCGAUCUUUUCGCUCUGUCCUACAGGUGUAAGCAUAGGUUUAUCCUGGCAUUUGUAUUUGAGUAUAUAGGAGUGGAUAUGUAUUGAUAUUUCUUUUUCUGUUGUCAGAAUUAAUGGAAUAAAAAAAGAAGUGCGUUUUCGAUGUCGAUGAUAUUUUCUCCAAGCGGUGACCAGAAAUGAAGUACCGACGCGUUGCAGAGUGCUUACGGGGAGUCAGGAAAAAAGCGUCUUUCAGGAUCCACUCCGUGCCGCAUAUCAAUCCAUCAAUCAAUAAAUGCUUUUUGGACCUUCCGUGCUGACCUGUUCUGAAGAUAUCGGCCCCGAUUAGGCUCCCGGUAGUCGAAAAGACCAGCGGGAUUGGGAGAAUUUAAGUUGGGGGCAUAUGGGUAGUAACAAGAUUGGAUCUUCGCCCUUUGACAACUUACCGAGGGCACCAGAAAACCUGUUGCUGGACCGGAGCUUCCCACAUUUUGGAGGUAAAUUAAGGAUUUUUCUAUACAGAACCGGAAGAGAGUUGUGCUCUGAUUCAAGAUGGCGCUGCUGGAGCUCAUCCUCACGGACCCGAGUGAUUCAGCGACGCUUUCUACCUGGGAAGCAGCGUGGCUCGGUGGAAAGAGCCCGGGCUUGGGAGUCAGAGGUCAUGGGUUCGA